UAAGCAGAUCACCUUAUCGCUGUUUUGAUUUAUCAAAAGAGAGGAAAGUCCGGACACCAUAGUGCAGUAUAGCGGGUAACGCCCGUCCGUCGUGAGAUGAGGACAAGUGCAGCAGAAAGUAUGUACAGGUAAGGCUGUAGUGAAACCAGGUAAACUCUAUACGGUGCAACGCCAUGUAUACCAACGCUUAAGGGUUGCGCGCCCAAUGUUGGAGGGUAGGCGGUUUGAUCUUGAUAGUAAUAUCAAGGCUAGAUAAAUGAUAAGGAUUCCAUCUUUGAUGGAUUACAGAAUCCGGCUUAUGAUCUGCUUUUUUU
rnacentral:RNase_P_RNA from 1 species